AUUGAACGCUGGCGGCAGGCCUAACACAUGCAAGUCGAGCGAGCGGCGGACGGGUGAGUAAUGUAUGGGGACUGCCCGAUAGAGGGGGAUAACUACUGGAAACGGUAGCUAAUACCGCAUACUAUCGGAUAACCCAUAUGGGAUUAGCUAGUAGGUGAUGUAAUGGCUCACCUAGUCGACGAUCCCUAGCUGGUCUGAGAGGAUGAUCAGACACACUGGGACGGAGAACAGGCCCAGAAUCCGCCGGGGGGAGCAGUGUGGAAUAUUGCACAAUGGGCGCAAGCCUGAUGCAGCCAUGCCGAGUGUAGGAAGAAGGCCCUAGGGUUGUAAAGUACUUUCAGUCGGGAGGCGUUACCGACAGAAGAAGCACCGGCUAACUCCGUGCCAGCAGCCGCGGUAAUAC
rnacentral:rRNA from 1 species